rfam:Clostridium hathewayi CAG:224 genomic scaffold, scf147
CCAACGGUUUUUUUAAUAACCACUAAAUGUAGGAAAAAUCAAGAAAU